CUAAAAGUGAGUGGAGGUUUCUCGUCAGGGAGUGCUCUUGGCACAGGUUGUGGGGAGUUGUUCUUCUGUUCUCGUUUCAAAACGCUUCUCACUUCCUCGGCAGUCUCGUCCUCAAAUGGCGACCUCACAUGUUCAACCUGGUUGCCAAUUGAGACUUCUGGUUUCAACUCUUUCUCUUCCUUUUCUGGCUGAUUCUGAUGUUGGAAAUAGGGCAACAAAUUAACAUUA